rnacentral:scRNA from 1 species
GAGACCCACGCCAUGGCAAACACCCUUACCGG